UCCGUAGGUGGAUAAUUAAGUCAGAGGUGAAAUCCUGCAGCUCAACUGUAGAAUUGCCUUUGAUACUGGUUAUCUUGAGUUAUUAUGAAGUAGUUAGAAUAUGUAGUGUAGCGGUGAAAUGCAUAGAUAUUACAUAGAAUACCAAUUGCGAAGGCAGAUUACUAAUAAUCAACUGACACUGAUGGACGAAAGCGUGGGGAGUGAACAGGAUUAGAUACCCUGGUAGUCC
rnacentral:rRNA from 1 species